AAAUAGGCUUUUCCUCAAAAAAGCCACUCUAUAUUCUUAGAAAAAUAAAA
rfam:Macaca mulatta chromosome 15, whole genome shotgun sequence.